CCUGAGCCUCGAGGGAGUGAUACACCUGUCCCAUUCAAGGUCGAGUGCUCCACCAUCAUUUACUCUCUGUGCUGUGUCAAUUAGAGAUUUCUGCAGUAACCACCACUGCUGCAGCAAGAAGUUUCUCUGAUGAAGGCUGGGCAGAGCAAUAAUCUUAAAUGAUGACCACCCAGUAUUGGAUUACCUAGCUGUGGAAGUUCCAGCAGAAUUCUGUUUGGCCUCGAUGCUAUUAUAGACAAGCCUGGGAAGCCAUCAGUUCAGAGGACUAGAGCUAACUGCAAGCAGAAACCAACUAGAUCACCCUCGGAAAGAUCACAGCUCACAAGUGGAAAUAGAAAUUCUGUGUCCAAGCUGGUCCCAGCUUGGUCCAUAAGAUAAUUAUAUUGAUUAGAUUAUCCCAGUUGCUCCAUAAGAUAAUUGUAUUGAUUAGAUUGAGACUUUCAUUAAAAUAAAAACACAAAAUUAUAUAUAAAAAAGAACAACGGUAAAGGCUUGCAAGGUGAUGUUAAGGAGAUGGCUC
rnacentral:lncRNA from 1 species